rnacentral:antisense_RNA from 1 species
GAUAACCGUAGAUAGUCGCUAAAUCGAGGGUAGGAUGUUCAAUGAUACGCACAGAUUGAGUAGUUGCAUCAUAUAACCCUCCCCAAUACAUCGCUUUUCCAGCUAAUAAUAAAGCACCUGCACCCAAAAAUAGCAGAUGAUGACCGAGAAUUAAGCCUAAUUUAGCAGAAUCAUCCCA